AUCCUCUGUGAAGAAGUAUAAUAAUCCAAAUGACUACACGACUUCUUUGGUCUAUAAGAGGAAACCAAAAACAGGACGUCCCCAUUCACUCUCAUUACGGCGUUUUGAAGCCUAAAGAUGGCCGAUAUGGAAGCUGCCAUAUUGCGUGCGCUUACGCAGUAAAAGCAAAGUGGAGCCAUAACAGGAGCAGCAGAGGUGGGAGGCAAAACCCCGCCCACAUGUCCACCCGUAUUGGGGACGCCAUCAGAGGGCGUAAGAUACAUAACCGCUGUCGUCCUGUCCAUGCUUAUAUACAGUCUGUGGGGGGAACGCUGUAAGGCUCCUGUGGCCAGUACUUUUACACUUUUACUUAAAGAGUAAAAAGCUUGAGUUGAUACUUCAGCUUCUACAGUAAAGUAUUUAAAACACUAGUAUUUAUACUUCUAACUACAGAGUAAUAAAUGGGAAUACGUCUGACACAUUUGCUAAAUAGUCUCUCUCUAUACACAGCACAAUACUUAUGAGUCAGUUCGGUCACAGCCUGGGAUUCUGCUCUCCAGAAGUUGGUGAGGUUCUCUGCCAGCGCCACGCCCAUAGGAGAAUAACCACGCCCAUUGGUCUAAUUAUCUAUUUAACGAAGAUUUUGGUGGCGUUCGGAUUUCGUCUCUCUUGUAGGAACCGGAGGUCUGGUGCUGCGGUGCUGCGAAUAAAUGUAUUAUAUUAUCCUUGCCCCUGCUCCUAUCUUUCAGCUGGAGACCAGCAAGUUUUCGAAGAGGUCAUCUCUGAAGCUUUUCUCCAGAUUAUCGACUCUGCUGAGUAGUUUGCUUUCCAAACGUUUUAUUCGGUCUGUGGAGCGCUGCUUUUCUAACUGCUUGUCCAGUUUCUCCACAUGAGCAGAGAGGAGGUCCAUCUGUGCUUUUAGAUUUACCUCCACGUCUUCCUACAACUGCUGCUCUGUCCACAUCCUGAGCCUGGCUGCUUCCUCUUCCAGCUCCCUCAGCCCACUGGAAGUCCUGCACAGCCACCGAAAUUACAUAAUAGGUGCUGUUUUUCCCAUGGUCCAGCAACACAAUUGUGUAUAUUGUAUGAGUCAGAACUCUCCUGGGGUCUGCAUUAAUGAGGCUACAUACUUGAUGUUCGGACCUUCAAAACUGAAGACCUGGGUGGCUGUGGUAUCCCGGGUGCCCAGGUGGAUGUCAAGUGGAUGAUAAGGUCUCCGAUGCCGGUCAGGUUCUUGUGGUCCAGCUUUUGAACUGCAAACGUUGUUCCUGAUGCUACACUGUCCCUUUGAACAAUCUGAGCCUCCAGCACCUGCGAGUAACAGCUGCUUCAUUAUUUACUCUUUAAGAGCUUAUUAAACCAGCAGGCAUUACGAUGCAGUACAUCUGCUGUGUACACUACACUCAUAAAAAUAAAGGUGCUAGAAAUCUUA